AUCCUCCAAUCCAUAAAUUGGAUAAGAAACUGACAACACUAUUUCCCUAUCUUUAAGAAGCGUGCGCAUCGAAAGUCGAUCCCAUACAAGCUUUCAGAGAAAGAGUCUCACUCUGGGGUGGGUGGGUACUCUCCAAAUCUAAGUAACCUCGAUCCUCCUAACUGUCAUUGGCCUGUACAUCUCAGAAAGAUUACUCAAGAAAAUCUUAGGACAGUAAGAUCGGCCCCACACUCUCAGAUCUUAACCAUGAUAAACUGAACUAGGAGUAAUGAGGAUCCGAUCAGUAAGCAGACUGCCAAAUAAUCUGAUGACCUCCUAUACUCUCCAGGCCC
rnacentral:lncRNA from 1 species